CCUCUUCACCCCCAGCAUCCCCCCCUGGCCCCUGCCCAGUUCCCUCCUGCCCCAGCCAUCACCAUCUCCCAGACAACGAGGAGAGCAGAGGAAAACAUGCUGACUUAAACCUGUGGAAAAUGGAAGACAUUAAUACAGUGGAUUUGAACACCUCUGUAGUGAUGCUUAACUUUGGUUGCUGAACCACAAGUGCUGCUUUUCUGCUCUGGAGAGGUCCCUUUUCAGGCCACUUUAUGGAACUGAUCACAGGUAAUACCUGGUUAGUCUUAGAUAUUUCCAAGUGGCUUUCCCACAAUUCCCAUAUGCAAAAGGAUCCCCAGGAUAUCUGAUGGGGCAGGGGAGUGGUGUUAUAUCAGUGAAGUCAAUUCACUGCC